rnacentral:sRNA from 1 species
UGAAAAUGUUUUACGUUAUUGAUGCAGUGAAUCCCCCUAUGCGGCGGGGCGCUUAGUCACUACUGAUAAAGUACAAAUGCGCGCGAGACAGUCUGACUAGCUGAAUCACCGGGAGGCACCCGGCACUGCAAAUCUACCUUUCUUAAGGCCUGCUCUAAUGAGCGGGCUUUUUUAU